rnacentral:lncRNA from 1 species
AUGAUUUGCGAGGAUGUAGAGAGAUCUACAAUCGAAGUUUUUCAAGGGUUUGAAGGUAAAAUAGUAAGAAAAGAACUUGGAACUUUCACUGACUCCGAGCGUCUCAUCAGUGAUGCUGAUAAGAAUCAGGUCGCCAUGGACCCUAUCAACACAAUCUUCGGUUUCAUGUGUGUAUGCUCCGGCAUGGCUUACAUUUGCAUCUAG